ACUGCCUGAAGCUGCUGAACUCAAAGAAGAAGGGUCUAACUUUCCCCCACCUGGGGUCUUGGAACCAGAAGACUGUGCCACAGACUGUUUCACUUUCCCUUCAAUUAUUGCACUAGCCUCCAUUCUCCGGGCCAUAUCCACUAUGGCAUGGAAACUCUCCCUCUCUGCUGACUGGAUCAAGGAGGAAUACCUGGAAUGAAGCCUCAUGAUAUACCUCCUAGCCUUCUUCUGAUCUGUGUCAAGAUUUUGCCCGGCAAACGGCAACAGCUCCAAGAACCUAUCUAUGUACUCAUCUACACUCAUCUCCUCUGUCUGCCUUAGCUGUUCGAACUCAAUCAUCUUCAACUCCCUUGAACUAUCAGGGAAAGCCCAUCCUGCAAACUCAUUAGCAAACUCUUCCCAUGAUA
rnacentral:lncRNA from 1 species